rnacentral:rRNA from 1 species
UACGUAGGGGGCAAGCGUUGUCCGGAUUUAUUGGGCGUAAAGAGCUCGUAGGUGGUUUGGUAAGUCGGAUGUGAAAUCUCCAGGCUCAACCUGGAGGGGUCAUUCGAUACUGCCAUGACUAGAGGUCGGUAGGGGAGUGUGGAAUUCCUGGUGGAGCGGUGAAAUGCGCAGAUAUCAGGAGGAACACCAAUGGCGAAGGCAGCUCUCUGGGACGGUACUGACGCUGAGACGCGAAAGCGUGGGGAGCGAACAGG